GGGCACCGCCCGGGGCUCCCGGCGUGGGAGGUUCCGCUCCCGGGUCCAGCGGUCGCGCGCGCCCUGGAGUCCUGUCCUGGUUCUGGCGGCUGAGGGCCGGGUGGCGCAGGCGGCCUCCGGGGACUCCGGCUGUGCCCAUGGGAACUAAAACCUUCGGUUCUAGAAGAGCCGGGGGAGAGGCUCCGGGAAGACCGAAUUCUUCAGAAACCGCAGAGAGACCUUGGACCGGAUCCUUCCCUGCAGGGCUGCGUCGGGGAAGCGCCGGCACAAGUAUAUUCAGCGACUUCCUUGGAAGCGCCUACGUUAGAAUACUACAAACUUACAAGCUAGUUGAUCAGUUUACCUCCCACUAGAAAAGAGAGUAUGGGAAGGCAGAGGCCGCGUGGCCUGGACCCCCGUCUUUGCUGUCAGGCUUCCAGAGUGAAGGUGGGGCUCAUACUCAGACUAGUUCCUGGUCCAUUCAUUCUUUCAGUCAGUCAGUCAGUUAUUCCUACAGGGCCAGAAACUUUUUUUUUUUUUUUGAGACAGAGUUUCGCUCUUGUUGCCCAGACUGGAGUACAAUGGCGUGCGGCUCACCGCAACCUCCGUCUCCUGGGUUCAAGAGAUUCUCCUGCCUCAGCCUCCCGAGUAGCUGGGAUUACAGGCAUGUGCCAGCACACCCGGCUAAUUUUUGUAUUCUUAGUAAAGACGGAGUUUCUCCAUGUUGGCCAGGCUGGUCUCGAAUUCCCGACCUCAAGUGAUCUGCCCGCCUCGGCCUCCCGAAGUGCUGAAAUUACAGGCGUGAGCCACCGCGCCCGGCCCAGAAACAUGUUUUGAAGGGCAGGCACCGCACAGGGUGCUGGAGACAGACUGAAGGAAACUGCACCUCUCAGUGACUCAAGAGAGAUUUGUUGAGUAUCUACCAAGUGCCUAGCGCUGUUCUUGUCCCUGGGGAUUCAGCCUCUGGAUUGGGACCUGCAGCCCAGAGAAGGGAAAUGGGGGAAAUCCAAGUUCCCAGGUACAUCAUGAUACCCUUCCAGCCUCUCCUUCCUGGAAAUUGCCAUCACCAGCGGCCAUAGCACCCCCAUGGGACCUGGGGGAUGGAGUUGGAAGCCCCCUCCGGCAACACUGGCCAGAUUGGAGGGACCAGCAGGGAAGCUCCCUCCUACCCCCAGAGAGGCUGAAGCCAGCUCUCCAUGGCCACGAAACCCGGAACCCAGGACCCUGGGGGGCAGGUAUCCUGUCAUUCCUCAUUCUGAAAACCUAGGCUUGCAUCUCUCUUGUGCCUAGGGCUAUGCUGGACUAGAGAAGACACAAGUGGCCAAAGCUGGACCCAGCCCUCAGGGAACAGAUAACCUGCGUGAGAAACAAAUAAUUGAUUCUGCCCUUUAUCCCUCCCGGGCCAGCACGGAGGGGUUCAGCCAAUGACUGGGAAUUGAAUGAAAAA